rnacentral:rRNA from 1 species
UUCUGGGGGGAUUGAUAGAUUGAGAGCUCUUCCAUGAUUCGGUGGAUGGUGGUGCAUGUCCGUUCUUAGUUGGUGGAGUGAUUUGUCAGGUUAAUUCCGAUAACGAACGAGACUCUAGCCUAUUAAAUAGUUGCGCGGUUCUCUAAACCUUGCACCCUUCUUAGAGGGAAAAACGGGUCCUAUCUGCACGAAACAGAGCAAUAACAGAUCUGUGGUGCCCUUAGAU